rnacentral:rRNA from 1 species
AAAUUGAAGAGUUUGAUCAUGGCUCAGAUUGAACGCUGGCGGCAGGCCUAACACAUGCAAGUCGAACGGUAACAGGAAGCAGCUUGCUUC